rnacentral:lncRNA from 1 species
UGUUCACCCAACCUUCUCUUGACCACUUUGCUCUCUAUCCUCCAGGUUUCCUUUUUCUUUCAUUGAAUAUAGAUUUUUUAUAUAUAUACAGUAUAUACUGAUUGUGGUUUCCUCUUCCCCAGCUCCCCCCUCCAGAUCCUUUCCAACAUCCCAUCCACCCAAAUCUACACCCCUUACUUUCCCACUCUGUCUCUCAUUAGAAUACAAACAAGCACCUCGUAAGUAAUAAAAAGAUAAGAUAAAAACAAAUCAGAAUAGGAGGACAAAACAAAGAGUAGAAAAAAAAGAGCCAAAUAAAAAGUACAAGGAAUACGGAUAGAUACAAAGACAGGCAUGUUCCCACACAACAUGAAAACACAACCAUAAUAUAUAAAAGCUCAACCAUAAUAUAUAAGCAAAAAGAUCUGAAAGGGAGAGAAAAAGCAAACAAAGCAUUGUGAGUCAAAAAAAAAUCACAAAAAUAUCAUUGAGUUUGUCUUAUGAUAGCCCUCUAUUGCCAGACACAGGGCUUGCCCUUAAAUGUGGCUUGUGUAACCAGAGAGACGCCUUUGGAUAAAAUAAAUUUUCAUUUGCAAGCAGUUAUCAGUCAGAGAAAGGUUCUAGGUCAGGGAUGGAAGCGUAGGCCCACUUGCCCCUCUCAGCACUGAAACCUCAGCUGGUGCAAAUCUUCAUGCGGCCACAGUAGGUGCUCUGGUCCCACUAUGUUCAGAAGGCCUUGUUUCCUUGGCUGUCUCCAUCCCCUCUGCCUCUUACAAUCUUUCCACCUUCUCUUCCACAGGAUUCCCUGGGCCCUGGGGGAUUGGACGGGGAUUUGAUGGAGAUGUCUCAUUUAGGACUGAGUGUUCUGGAUGUGCUUUGCACAUUGUCCAGUUGUGGACUGAUAUAUUUGUUCCCACCUGCUGUGGGUCAAAGCUUCUCUAAUUAUGGCAGAGCAAGGCACUGAUCUCCCAGUAUAGCAGAAUGUCAUUAGCAGUCAUUUAUUGCUCAAUUGCAUUAACAAACCAGUAGUAUUUGGUUCUCCCCUAGGUCUCUGGCCUAGCUAGACUUAGGUUCCUGACCACCCAAAGCAGUGUGAUAGGGGUUAGUUACUCCCAUAAGCUUUGGGCCACUAUGGAUGGCACCAGCGUAUUUGCAGGCAGGUAAACUUUGUAGAACUCAGGGUUUGUGGCUCAAUUGGUGUUUACAUUUCUCCUCUGGUUGUGAACAGAGUACCUUCCAGGACCGUGAGCACUAACCAGUAGGGGUGAAGGCUCUAGGUGGGCACCAGCUUGAUUUCUCCGUGUUCAAGGAACUGUGUAAGUAUUGUCUUGAGCAAUAGGGCCUGACUGUAGGUUUGUGGACAGGAACAAUAACCUUGGCAACAGACUGGGUUGUCUGGGGCUCUCCACAGGGCCCCAUUAACUAACAACUAAAUUAGAUGUAACCUACUCCCAGAACUGAAGGUCUCAUUUAGUCACCUGGGGCUGUGGGCCUCCUUGUUAUUUGAUGGUUACUUUUAGAUUUCUUUCACAUAUGUGCAUAUUUUAAGAAGCUUCUAUAAUAGGUUUCCAUAUAACCCCUCAAGUAGCUUAGCUUAACCAUCCAUCCCUGUAUAUCCUCCUUUGGCCCUGUCUCACCUUACAUUUCCUAUUUGAUCUUUCCAUUCCAUUCCCCCCUCUCCUUCCAUUCAUAAUUAUUUAUUUUAUAUCUCCUUCCUAAGGUGAUCCAUUCCUCUCCUCUAGUACCUGACCCUUUACCUAACCUAUGUGGUUUUGUGGAUUGUAGUCUUCUUAUUGAAGACUUAAUAGCUAACAUCCAUAUAAGUGAACACUUACCAUAUUGUCUUUUGGAGUCUGAUUACCACACUCAGGAGAUGACUUUUUCUAGCCCCAUCCAUUUGCCUGCAAAUUUCAUUUUUUAAACAACUGAUUAAUAUUCUGCUGUAUAAACAUACAGUGGUUUUUUAAAUCUAUUCUUCCAUUGGUGGGCAUCUAGACUGUUUCCAAUUUCUGACUAUUAAGAAUAGAGCAGCAAUGUCACAUUCGAUUCUUUAAAAUACAACUUUUAAAUUUAUGUGUUUAUGUGUACCUGCAUGAGUUUAUGUGCACCAAGUACAUGCAAGUGGCCACUGUGGCCAGAAGGGUACAUUGGAUGCCCUAAAACUUGAGUUAUAGGCAGUUGUGAGCCACCUGUGUGUGUGCUAGGAACCGAACCUGGGUCCGAGCAGCUUGUGCUCUGGAGUACUAAGCCAUCUCGACAGUACCUCAUCUAGAUUCUUGAACCAUCUCUUGCCUGUCCCUCUCCAGUACCUCAUCUAGAUUCAUCUCUUGACUGUGCCUCUUAAAUUCAUUCUCUAUCCCACCUAAGUAUAUCUGUCUAAGUAUGGUGCUAUCUCUCAGCAUAAUAUCCUUCAGUAUAUCCCCAUUGUCCCCGCACUGCUCCUGUGAUAUCUUCUCUUAGUCCUCCACAGUCUUGCUCCAAUGUUAUCUUUUCCAUCCAAUGUACUCAGGAAGUGACUGGUAUCUUCUACUAUUUAUCAUGCUCACAGCCCAUAUGAGACUGAGAGCCUCAAGGAUAAGAACUAUCUUUUGUUCAUCUCUAUAUUCUCAGCCUCUUCCUGGGGCACAAGACACACACCCUUAGAUAGAUGGAUAUCAGCUUUUCUCUCCCAGGACUUCCCCAGGAGAGCCCUGAGUUUGGUGCUCAAAAUGAAAGCAUACUCUCCCUUUGGUGAUUUGGGUAUUCGUCCAUCUACAAGAUCAUAACAGCAGCAAAUGAAGACUUCACAACCAUUUCUCCUGAAAGGCUCAGACUACCUUCUUUGCAUUAAUAACAAAACCCAGAUUGCUACAAGCUUAAAGAGUAAUGGGCCAACCUGGGCUUUUCUGCUUCAGUGCAAAGGGACUGCCAGGCUAUGCAUGGAGCCUCCCUCCAUUUUCUAGGUUCUACUAAAACGAUUCCACAGUAGACAGAAGCAAUAAGUGAAGGAGAUAGGACAGACAUCACAUCUAGCUGGGAUGUCACCUGCGUUUGACUCCCUUGAGCCAAUGGUCCUCCCAAGAAGCCUGAGUCCUUCUCUGAAAGAGGCAAUACCAAUGGCCCAGAACUGUUCCCUUACCAUCCAUUGAACUAACUCACUUUGGUCCCCAGUAGAGGCAAACCGGGUGCAGCUCAUAGGCUAUGGUGUUCGGUGCUGAUGGGUUCUGUGGUCUGACUGCACCAAGACAACAGCAGUGAUCUGCAGAUACCAUAGGUUCAUGCAGUGUUCAUAUAGAAUUGCAUUUCAGGCCAGUGGUUCUCAACCUGUGGGGCAUGACCCCUUUGGGAGUUGAAUGACUCUUUCACAGGGGUGGCCUAAGACCAUCAAAAAGCACAGAUAUUUACAUUAUGAUUCACAACAGUAGGCAAAAGUUCAGUUAUGAAGUACAACAAAAAUAAUUUUAUGGUUGAGAGUCACCACAACAUGAGGGACUAUAUUAAAGGGUCACAGCAUUAAGAGGGCUGAGAACCACUGUUCUAGGCUUCUGAAAAUUAUAAGAAGAAUAAAUUAUGGUAUAAGCUUGGGAGAGGCUCCAGUCCAGUCCAUUUGUGGAUGGCAAAAUACAUUCUAUAAUUAAAAUUUUUAUUCACGUUGGAACAGUCUGCCAGGCAAUCAUAAAAAGACCAACGAGGACCAUUCGAGAGUUUGUCUUAUUACUUAUAAUUAAAUUUAAGUUGUAUUUGUCCUCACUGAAGGUUGGCUUCACUCACACCAGAGUUUUAUAGCAGUUUUGACAGAGUAUAGUGAAUAUUUCUGGUAUAUGGUAUAUUUCUUACCUACAGAAGCCAAAUCUGAGAGAGGCUAUCAUCUAUCUCUACAAUGUAUGUUGCACCCAGUCUGGGUGCUUACAAAGGUCACCGUUGUUUACCUCACCAUAUGAGAAAUAAUUCACAAAUCAACAAUGCUCUAUCACACCAUGAAGAGAUGCAUAGUGUCAGACAGUUACCCUAAAGAGUAUUUUCUUCUCUCAUGGUUUACAGGAUUCAGGAUGGUCUGUUUAUAAGAAGAUUGAAAUUAUACCCAACAUUUCUU